GGCUGACUAGAAUGACUCACAUUU
rnacentral:siRNA from 1 species